UACGAAGGGGGCUAGCGUUGUUCGGAAUUACUGGGCGUAAAGCGCGCGCAGGCGGCUAUCCAAGUCAGUGGUGAAAGCCCGGAGCUCAACUCCGGAACUGCCAUUGAAACUGUUUAGCUUGAGGACGAGAGAGGUGAGUGGAAUUCCCAGUGUAGAGGUGAAAUUCGUAGAUAUUGGGAAGAACACCGGUGGCGAAGGCGGCAUCCUGGACCGGUAUUGACGCUGAGGCGCGAAAGCCAGGGGAGCAAACGGG
rnacentral:rRNA from 1 species